CAAUAGCGUAUAUUUAAGUUGUUGCAGUUAAAAAGCUCGUAGUUGGAUUUCGGUUAAGAGCGACCGGUCCGCCGUUUGGUGUGCACUGGUUGGUUUUAACUUCCUGUAGAGGACGUGCUCUGGGUUUAACGACCUGGACUCGGAGUCUACGUGGUUACUUUGAAAAAAUUAGAGUGUUCAAAGCGGGCUUACGCUUGAAUAUUUCAGCAUGGAAUAACACUAUAGGACUCCUGUCCUAUUUCGUUGGUCUCGAGACGGGAGUAAUGAUUAAGAGGAACAGUUGGGGGCAUUCGUAUUUCAUUGUCAGAGGUGAAAUUCUUGGAUUUAUGAAAGACGAACUUCUGCGAAAGCAUUUGCCAAGGAUGUUUUCAUUAA
rnacentral:rRNA from 1 species